rnacentral:rRNA from 1 species
AAUUAUUGGGCGUAAAGAGCUCGUAGGCGGCUUGUCACGUCGGAUGUGAAAGCCCGGGGCUUAACCCCGGGUCUGCAUUCGAUACGGGCUAGCUAGAGUGUGGUAGGGGAGAUCGGAAUUCCUGGUGUAGCGGUGAAAUGCGCAGAUAUCAGGAGGAACACCGGUGGCGAAGGCGGAUCUCUGGGCCAUUACUGACGCUGAGGAGCGAAAGCGUGGGGAGCGAACAGGAUUAGAUACCCUGGUAGUCCACGCCGUAAACGUUGGGAACUAGGUGUUGGCGACAUUCCACGUCGUCGGUGCCGCAGCUAACGCAUUAAGUUCCCCGCCUGGGGAGUACGGCCGCAAGGCUAAAACUCAAAGGAAUUGACGGGGGCCCGCACAAGCAGCGGAGCAUGUGGCUUAAUUCGACGCAACGCGAAGAACCUUACCAAGGCUUGACAUAUACCGGAAAGCAUCAGAGAUGGUGCCCCCCUUGUGGUCGGUAUACAGGUGGUGCAUGGCUGUCGUCAGCUCGUGUCGUGAGCUGUUGGGUUAAGCCCCGCAACGAGCGCAACCCUUGUUCUGUGUUGCCAGCAUGCCCUUCGGGGUGAUGGGGACUCACAGGAGACUGCCGGGGCAACUCGGAGGAAGGUGGGGACGACGUCAAGUCAUCAUGCCCCUUAUGUCUUGGGCUGCACACGUGCUACAAUGGCCGGUACAAUGAGCUGCGAUGCCACGAGGCGGAGCGAAUCUCAAAAAGCCGGUCUCAGUUCGGAUUGGGGUCUGCAACUCGACCCCAUGAAGUCGGAGUUGCUAGUAAUCGCAGAUCAGCAUUGCUGCGGUGAAUACGUUCCCGGGCCUUGUACACACCGCCCGUCACGUCACGAAAGUCGGUAACACCCGAAGCCGGUGGCCCAACCCCUUGUGGGAGGGAGCUGUCGAAGGUGGGGCUGGA